UUUCUACGCAACGUUCAUCGGCGUAGAGUGAGUCGGCCCCUAAGGCGAGGCAGAGAUGCGUAGCUGAUGGGAAACAGGUUAAUAUUCCUGUACCGAUCUAUAGUGCGAUGUGGGGACGGAGAAGGUUAGCUCAGCCAACUGUUGGAUAUGUUGGUUCAAGCCUGUAGUCGUGCCUGGUAGGCAAAUCCGCCGGGCUUAGAUGAGGGGUGAUAACGAGGGUGCUUGCACCUGAAGUGAGUGAUACCCUGCUUCCAGGAAAAGCCACUAAGCUUCAGCUACACACGACCGUACCGCAAACCGACACUGGUGCGCGAGAUGAGUAUUCUAAGGCGCUUGAGAGAACUCUGGAGAAGGAACUCGGCAAAUUGAUACCGUAACUUCGGGAGAAGGUAUGCCCCAAUUAGGUGAACCUGUACAAGGCAAGCCGAAAGGGGUUGCAAAAAAUCGGUGGCUGCGACUGUUUAAUAAAAACACAGCACUCUGCAAACACGAAAGUGGACGUAUAGGGUGUGACGCCUGCCCGGUGCUGGAAGAUUAAAUGAUGGGGUGCAAGCUCUUGAUUGAAGUCCCAGUAAACGGCGGCCGUAACUAUAACGGUCCUAAGGUAGCGAAAUUCCUUGUCGGGUAAGUUCCGACCUGCACGAAUGGCGUAACGAUGGCCACACUGUCUCCUCCUGAGACUCAGCGAAGUUGAAGUGUUUGUGAUGAUGCAAUCUCCCCGCGGCUAGACGGAAAGAUCCCAUGAACCUUUACUGUAGCUUUGUAUUGGAUUUUGAACGGAUCUGUGUAGGAUAGGUGGGAGGCUUUGAAGUGAGGGCGCUAGUUCUCAUGGAGCCAACGUUGAAAUACCACCCUGGUUUGUUUAUGGUUCUAACCUUGGCCCGUUAUCCGGGUUGGGGACAGUGUGUGGUGGGUAGUUUGACUGGGGCGGUCUCCUCCUAAAUUGUAACGGAGGAGUUCGAAGGUACGCUAGGCACGGUCGGAAAUCGUGCUCAUAGUGCAUAGGCAUAAGCGUGCUUGACUGCGAGACUGACAAGUCGAGCAGGUACGAAAGUAGGACUAAGUGAUCCGGUGGUUCUGUAUGGAAGGGCCAUCGCUCAACGGAUAAAAGGUACUCUGGGGAUAACAGGCUGAUACCGCCCAAGAGUUCAUAUCGACGG
rnacentral:rRNA from 1 species